CCUCCUUAUACGAUUUAGAACUUAUUUGUUCGUAGUGUCCACACAGAUGAUUGUUAGUUAGCUAAGCCACUGGCUUACCUAAUUAAUAUGCUCUUUAAAAAUUUGGAAAAGCUGAUAAUAAAAUUCGUAUAGAUAACAGUUGUUAUUUAUACAGAGUUUUCAAAAGUAAAAAAAUGCCAUUGAUUAUUCAAACGAAUAAUGAAUUGGUAUCUACUUUAGUAUUCAAUAUUAACUUCUGGCGAAGUUAAACUGUCACUAACAAAGACCCGUUUGGGUUGUAUGGUUAAGUGACUAAGCGUACACGGUGGAUGC
rnacentral:misc_RNA from 2 species